CAGCCGCCGCGGUAAAACGGAGGGUGCAAGCGUUAAUCGGAAUUACUGGGCGUAAAGCGUGCGUAGGCGGUUCGUUAAGUCUGUUGUGAAAGCCCCGGGCUCAACCUGGGAAUGGCAAUGGAUACUGGCGAGCUAGAGUGUGUCAGAGGAUGGUGGAAUUCCCGGUGUAGCGGUGAAAUGCGUAGAGGUCGGGAGGAACAUCAGUGGCGGAGGCGGCCAUCUGGGACAACACUGACGCUGAGGCACGAAAGCGUGGGGAGCAAACAGGAUUAGAUACCCGCGUAGUCCCUGUCUCUUAUAA
rnacentral:rRNA from 1 species